rnacentral:lncRNA from 1 species
CACCCUUACGGAUGCAGGAGGGCUCGUCACGCAGCGCCCAGCACAGCCCCAGUGGGGAGCCAGCGGGCCACGCGGGUCUCAAGCCCAUGGCGCGGCCCCUUUAAAUGCAAAUCCACCGGCGGCCAUCGGGGGCAGCACUGAGCGGCCGGACGGCCUCCGCGCCGCUGCCUCGAAGCUUCUGCCGGUGCCGGGGACGCGGCGCGGAUGCGCCCGGGACGCGGUGGAGCGGGGGACGACGGGUGGGCCUGGGCCUGCGCAGCCCAUUGAGCUCCGCGGGAGAGCAGCGCCCAGGUGCUUCUGACGCCGGCAUGGAGCAAGUGCCUGUGGCCUCAGCCAAGGCCCAAAAUCAGGGCUGCUCUGCCCACUGCGCCCCAGGGCGAAAGCCCCACAAGGCCGAGUGAGCUGCAGCAGCCAUUCUGGGAACCUCUUUUAAGAUGACCCGCACGGACCCGCCAGACCUGUUGGUGUCGACCGUGUACCAGGACAUCAAAGUGGCGGCCCCAGGGCCCGCGUCCAGGCGCCCGCCAUAUGAGCGCCCCGUGGCCCGGCCUGCUGCGCCCGCGCCUUUCAACAAGCGCCACUGCCGCAGCUUCGACUUCCUGGAGGCGCUGGACGGGGCGGCCAUGGAGGCUCUCCCUGAGCCGCCGCCCACGGAGCCCCCGGGGCCCCGCGCCCGGCCCCGCGAC